GUCCGGUCAUCUCUCUGUCUGUGUCUGAUGGGGCUUCCCAGGCCCGGCCACAGGGGGUCCGGGUGCUGCUGGGGUCAAAGUUCAGGGUCGAAUGCUCUGUGGAGCCAAAGUACCCGGGAGGCUCCUUCCAGCUCCUCUCUCCCACUGCGCCCCUCGGUCAGAACCACACCCUGCCCGCUGUCAAUCACUCCGCACACUUCCUGUUCUCUGACACUGGCUCCGCCCACAAAGGAAACUACACCUGUGUUUACCACCUGCAUGUGUUCAACCACAACUUCUCCUCUCAGAGCCCCACCCUCCAGCUCUCUCUGGGAGCUCCAGUCUCAGACCUGAUCAUCAGAGUCCUGGUCAUUCUACUGUUGAAGCUCCUCUACAUCCUUCCAAUGUACUACUACUACUGCAAGGUCCGGGCCAGAGGGGGCGCUAGAGAGAGGACUUGAGUACCUUGAUUUGACCGUUUCAGAUGUGAGCUCCUGG
ensembl:lncRNA